UACGGAGGGUGCAAGCGUUAUCCGGAUUCACUGGGUUUAAAGGGUGCGUAGGCGGGCAGGUAAGUCCGUGGUGAAAUCUCCAAGCUUAACUUGGAAACUGCCGUGGAUACUAUUUGUCUUGAAUAUAGUGGAGGUGAGCGGAAUAUGUCAUGUAGCGGUGAAAUGCUUAGAUAUGACAUAGAACACCCAUUGCGAAGGCAGCUCGCUACACUAUUAUUGACGCUGAGGCACGAAAGCGUGGGGGAUCAAACAGG
rnacentral:rRNA from 1 species